rnacentral:lncRNA from 1 species
GGUGUUGUCUGUGCUUGCAUUCCCAACAUUCACAUGAGGAAUUAUCAAUGGGUUCCCGACAUAAUCAGCCACACAGCAGAGUGAAUUUCAGGAGUGUAAUUAACAAGAGCUGCCUAUAAAUCUACCUCAGAAGACAAAGGGAAAAGCAAAACUCUGCCCAGGAAAACCUUACUUUACAAACCAGCUCAACCAUAUUUACCAGCCUUCCUGUGGUCAUUUGUCUGAGCUCCAGCUAGUGAAGUGUGAGUAGAACAGACAUGCACCACUUCCAGACCUGGCACCGGCAAACCCCCCAUGGCAACCCUCCAACCCUUUCCUCAACAACUGGACCAUGCUGGAAAGGACUGAGGAUCUAGAGGAGGACAGGGCUGUAAUAUGGAAGGAGUUUGGUUUCUGAAGGACCAUGUAGCAGGCCACCUGCAGGGUGGGAACAUCUUUAAUAGGUUUGGAAUAGCAAGAAAUAAACUGGUCUUGUAUUAAACAACUAA